UACGUAGGGUGCAAGCGUUAAUCGGAAUUACUGGGCGUAAAGCGUGCGCAGGCGGUUUUGUAAGUCUGUCGUGAAAUCCCCGGGCUCAACCUGGGAAUUGCGAUGGAGACUGCAAGGCUGGAGUCUGGCAGAGGGGGGUAGAAUUGCACGUGUAGCAGUGAAAUGCGUAGAGAUGUGGAGGAACACCGAUGGCGAAGGCAGCCCCCUGGGUCAAGACUGACGCUCAUGCACGAAAGCGUGGGGAGCAAACAGG
rnacentral:rRNA from 1 species